UACGGAGGAUGCAAGCGUUAUCCGGAAUGAUUGGGCGUAAAGCGUCCGUAGGUGGCUAUUCAAGUCUGCUGUUAAAGCGCAGGGCUUAACCCUGUAAAGGCGGUGGAAACUGGAGAGCUAGAGUGUGGUAGGGGUAGAGGGAAUUCCCGGUGUAGCGGUGAAAUGCGUAGAGAUCGGGAAGAACACCAGUGGCGAAGGCGGCCAUCUGGAUCAACACUGACGCUGAGACACGAAAGCGUGGGGAGCAAACAGG
rnacentral:rRNA from 1 species